GUCCCUUGAUUUCUGCGGUGAUGACGCUGAUCUGAUGCGUGGCAUGGACCAGUCGCGAGAUGCAGCAUCGGUUCUACAUGCAUGCAUGGUAGCAAGAAAUUGACCCGGUACAGUUGUAGAAAGAAAGUCUUGACCCGGUCGGUUGAGUAUUCGUCACUGAGUAGGCAUUCCAUGCUUGUUAUUUCCUUGUUGGCCGUAUGCUGAAACUUACAAGAUUCUAUUUCAGAAAAACUUGCACCGAAAGUAUCCCCACCAGCGCACAAAUCGUCGAAUUUUAGGGACAACAAUCUGGUGGCUAGCGGAUAGUUACAGAAGCUUCAACAAAGUCGGCGAGCCGCCUUCGCCUCCUUGGGAAGGCGCGCAGCAGCGGCUAUCCUGCAAAUCUUCCAGGUUUUGCAGAACUGGAUGAUCGAGAUAAUGAGUGCGCAGCCCUGGAGCGCAUAAUAAUUGAUGCAAGUGCAGAGCCAAUUAUGCUAUUAUAUGCGUGUUUGAAAGAUAUUACAAAUAACUUCUCUGUAGAGAUUGGUAGAGGUGGGUUUGGAGUGGUUUAUAUGGUAUGGAUAUUUAUUUUUUUGAUGGCUGUGCGAAGUUUUUCUUCAAAUAUUUGACUGCAUGGAACUAAAUUAAUGUCGCAACAUAAUGAUAUAUUGUGUA